rnacentral:rRNA from 13 species
AACUCUGAGCAGUGGAUCACUCGGCUCACGGGUCGAUGAAGAACGCAGCCAGCUGCGAGAUUUGGUGUGAAUUGCAGGACACAUUGAGCACUGAUUUUUCAGAACGCACAUUGCGGCCUCGGGUCCUACCCGGGGCCUAGCCUGUCUGAGGGUC